AGUAUAUCUUCUUUCGAGAAGAGAACGUUUUUCUUUGAGAAACGGUAUUAAUACCAGAUAGAUAUAAUUUACACUGAAUAUACGACCGCUAAAAACACGUAUGGAGUAAUGCAACUGGCAUUCAUGUAUUUUAUUAAAGAUUAAAUUCGUUGUAGGAUGAGCCUUCGUAAGAUUAGGUAGUUGGUGAGGUAAAAGCUCACCAAGCCCACGAUCUUUAGCUGGUCUGAGAGGAUGAUCAGCCACACUGGGACUGAGACACGGCCCAGACUCCCUCGGGAGGCAGCAGUGAGGAAUAUUGGACAAUGGGCGAAAGCUUGAUCCAGCAAUAUCACGUGAGUGAUGAAGGCUAUUUGGUUGUAAAGCUCUUUCAUCGAGGAGGAUAAUGACAGUACUCGAAGAAGAAGUCCCGGCUAACUCCGUGCCAGCAGCCGCGGUAAUACGGGGGGGACAAGUCUUAUUCGGAAUGACUGGGCGUAAAGGGUCUGUAGGCGGUUUAUUAAGUGAAACGCAAAAGUUCAGGGCUCAACCCUAAAAAGAUGUUUCAAACUGAUAAACUAGAGUUCAAAAGGGGAUAGUAGAAUUUCUGGUGGAGGGAUAAAAUCCUUAGAUAUCAGAAGGAAUACCAGAGGCGAAGGCGACUAUCUGGGUUGAUACUGACGCUGAGAGACGAAAGCAUGGGGAGCGAACGGGAUUAGAUACCCCGGUAGUCCAUUGCUGUAAACGAUGAGUGCUCGUGUUUAGGUUUUACACUUAGGCACCAAGCUAACGCAUUAAGCACUCCGCCUGGGGAGUAUAAUCGCAAGGUUGAAACUCAAAGGAAUUGACGGGGGCCCACACAAGCGGUGGAGCAUGUGGUUUAAUUCGAAAAUACGCGCAGAACCUUACCAGCUCUUGACAUAUAAAUGGAUUUUUUUGAGAGAAAAGAUUUUCAUGUUUAUACAGGUGUUGCAUGGCUGUCGUCAGCUCGUGUCGUAAGAUGUUGGGUUAAGUCCUUUAACGAGCGCAACCCCUAUGAAUAGUUGCUAUUCUCUUUGAGAGAAGCACUUUAUUCAGACUGCUAGUGAUAAGCUGGAGGAAGGUAGGGAUGACGUCAAGUCCUCAUGGCCCUUAUGAGCUGGGCUACACACGCGCUACAAUAGUAAUGACAAAAAGAAGCGAUAUCGUGAGUUGGAGCAAAUCUUUAAACAUUAUCUCAGUUCAGAUUGUAGGCUGCAACUCGCCUACAUGAAGUUGGAAUCGCUAGUAAUCGUAGAUCAGCAUGCUACGGUGAAUUAGUACCUGGGCCUUGUACACACCGCCCGUCACAUUUUGGGAGUGUGUUCUACUUGAUAUAAGGGAGCUAACCUUUA
rnacentral:rRNA from 1 species